rnacentral:rRNA from 1 species
UACGUAGGUGACAAGCGUUGUCCGGAUUUACUGGGCGUAAAGAGCGCGCAGGCGGUCGUUCAAGUCGAGUGUGAAAGCCCCCGGCUCAACUGGGGAGGGUCACGCGAUACUGAUCGACUCGAAGGCAGGAGAGGGAAGUGGAAUUCCCGGUGUAGUGGUGAAAUGCGUAGAUAUUGGGGAAGAACACCGAUGGCGAAGGCAGCCAUCUGGACCGACACUGACGCUGAGGCGCGAAAGCGUGGGGAGCAAACAGG